ensembl:lncRNA
UUCAUAGAAAAGGUCCCAGGUCACUCACCUCUUAUUGCUGGACCCAGUUUUGAGAUUCCCUCCUCAUCGACUCUGAUACUAUAAUAUGUAGUCAGUUCAUCAUUAAGGCUCUCCAUCUCUUUCACGGAAACGGGGAGGGCAAGGGUCGGGUUGCAUUCUGUCCUCUGCACGCCUGUCUGGCUGGCGUUUGUAAGACACCCGUGUAAUGGGCAGUGGACUAGCAAAUGACACGCAGUAAACCUUUUCAUCAAACAGUCCACAUCAACUAGAUUGUCCACUAGAAAUAGGGUAUAGAAAUUAAGUAUGUUUUCUAAAUAUUUAAAAGUCUGCUUUUUGAUGGACUCCCAGAAGUCUACGAUUUGCUAUUGAUUAAGGGUUCUAAGAAUUAGCUGUUCUUACACUCACACACACACACACACAGGCGCUGACAGGAGCAGAUCUCUUGAAGGUCAUGUUAAGUUCUAGUGUGUGGACACCAAAGCGGGAUUUGUGCCAAAUGAAAUUCUGCACUGUAGAUGCCACAUUUUCAGAAGUCAUUCAUACAUAAUUAUAUAAAGAGCCUCAAUUUUCCAUGUGUAGCUUAUGUGAGAAUUUUCUGUCAACUUCUUAAAGGAACAGUUAACAUAAGAACGAAAAUUCUGUUGUUACUGUUGUUUUAAAGCUUGUAUGACGUUCGUGGGUGGAAAAUUCAGAACUGCAGGCCUACUUUAAAUACAAUGAGAACAGACGGAAGAUUUCGAGCUUCAGAGAGAUCGCAAAAGCACCAUGAAGGUCUGGGAUUGUGGCCUAGGCCUACAACUCGUGCACUAUAUUCAAAUCCUUAUAAAGGUAUGCGAUAUCUUACCGAAAUUCAAGUUGUUGUUCAGGGUUCAAGAUAACGAGCAAAUCCUUUUUAUGUUUCGGUUAUGUCGAUUCAUUCCCGAAUCGAUCUGAUUCGUGGGUUCAACUCACUGAUUCACUUGGUCACAGCAGUUACUGCGUUCACUGAGUUAACUGGAGGGAAAUUUAUAUUUGAAUAACAGCUUAAAUUUCGACAUGUUCUUCGCACACAAAGACUUGUAUCAGAGGAAUUUAGUGCACGAGGUCAUAUGAACCGCAUUCAUGAUACGUUUGACAGUAAGUUUCCAGCCAUGAGUUUGGAAAGACAUGAAGGUGUCGGUGCAGUUUAAUAGACAGACACCACGCCACUGCUCCAUCGCAAUUAGGAGGAGGUUGCGUGAAUGGGUGUGAUUAAGAAGAUGGAAGAUUAUGACCCCUCCGAGUGGGCAUACAGAGCCGGGGACUGUGUGCACAACUGCUGAUGGGGAGAAGGAAGCUGUGGAAUGAAAUUGAGAUAAAGCUGGAUGGACAAGAUGCUUAGAGCAGAGAAACAGGGGAGGAGACUAGUCUCCUUCGAAGGAAACGCUUCUCUUCACACAUUUUUAGUUUCAUAAUAGGGGUCAGUGAGUGCAGAAGAGUUGGAUUACAUUAGCGCCGCAUUAUGGGCCAAGCUUUUGCAGCACACAUACAUGUGAGCAAUACAAAUUAAAAAUAGGUGAAUAGCGCAAAUUGCUUUCAGAUAAUAAAAUGGUUCAACCUGUUAUUAUGACGUCACAGGGGAGUCAAGAGAACAUUUAGGCACAUCUGAUGUUUCUGGGUAUUAGUGUUCAUUUUAAUGAAAUAGCAUGUUAAUGGAAGGCUGCAGAAUAUUGAAAAAGUGUCAGCACACAGAGAAUACUGUGUGGACAAUGAACUGUGUUAUGAAAUGAAAAUGCAUGUAGAAAAUGUUGCACUUUUACACACAAACCCACUGAUUUCUGCUCCUUGCUUUUCAUGGAAUUCCAGAGAAGCAUCCAUAUUUUAGCUAGUUGUUUUUGUGUAUUUUCCUGUAAAAUUUGCCAAGGAGGUCUAUAUAAUACCUGUAGAAAGCUAUUGAUUAGCAUUUCCAUUCAUCUCAAUGGGACCUGUUCAGCACAGGACCAUUGGUAUUUGGUAUUCACCAAAUAUUAAGAUGUGC